ACAUCCUUGGUGGGACGGAGCAGGAAGGCUGGAGAUUUCAUCAAGCUACUCACAGCAGCAUGCCAUUUAAAAUUCAUGAAUUAUUUAUUUCUGGAAUUUUCCGUUUAAUAUUUUUGGACCACAAUUGACCUCAGAUUUUACUUUCUACUCUUGUCAGUCAUAUCUGCAAGGCUGACAGUUACCAGGGGCUGUGGCCAGGCAUGAGGGAGAAUGUGUCAUUGCUGGCUGCGUUGGUCAUAGCAACGUGUCUGCCUCAGAACAGAUCCAGCAUGGAUGAGCAAACAGAAAAAUGUGUAAGAAGGCUUGUGACUGAAACAGACCAAGGCAGACACUUGAAGAAGCAUCUUUCUUGUGAUCUCCUGGCUGGUACCCUGAAGUCCUGUUAUGCCAAUGGACCAGCAACCCUCGCAGGUAGAAGGUCUUGAGUUCGCUGACGUUACUCUCAAAAUACUUUCAGGGAGAAUGUGG
rnacentral:lncRNA from 1 species